rnacentral:rRNA from 1 species
AGUUCCAAUAGCGUAUAUUAAAAUUGUUGCGGUUAAAAAACUCGUAGUUGGAUUUCUGCCGAGGACGACCGGUCCGCCCUGUGGGUGAGCAUCUGGAUCGGCCUGGGCAUCUUCUUGGGGAACGUAGCUGCACUUGACUGUGUGGUGCGGUAUCCAGGACUUUUACCUUGAGGAACUUAGACUGUUUCAAGCAGGCGUCCGCCUUGAAUACAUUAGCAUGGAAUAACAAGAUAGGACCUCGGUUCUAUUUUGUUGGUUUCUAGAGCUGAGGUAAUGAUUAAUAGGGAUAGUUGGGGGCAUUCGUAUUUAACUGUCAGAGGUGAAAUUUUUGGAUUUGUUAAAGACGGACUACUGCGAAAGCAUGUGCCAAAGAUGUUUUCA